UUUCCGUAGGUGAACCUGCGGAAGGAUCAUUGUCGAAAGCUCUGCCCAGCAGAACGACCCGCGAACACGUUUCACCACGCGGCGCCGGGCGAUCGGCGGUCCACGGGCCGUCGCGCGCCCCGUCUGCCGAGGGGGCGAUCGCACGUCGGUCCUCCCACGGCGCAAACAACCAAACCCCGGCGCAAGUCGCGCCAAGGAAAUCAAAGAUCGAAAGGCAGCGCCCCGUCGCCCCGGGAACGGCGCGCGGGCGAGGCGCUGCGACUCCACGAUGAGAAUCUCAACGACUCUCGGCAACGGAUAUCUCGGCUCUCGCAUCGAUGAAGAACGUAGCGAAAUGCGAUACUUGGUGUGAAUUGCAGAAUCCCGCGAACCAUCGAGUCUUUGAACGCAAGUUGCGCCCGAAGCGACCCCGCUGAGGGCACGUCUGCCUGGGUGUCACACAACAUCGCCCACCCCACCUCCGAACCCUCGGGGGCGCGGUCGGUGGCGGAAGAUGGCCUCCCGUGAGCACGGCCUCGCGGUUGGCCCAAAAACCAAGUCCCCGACGACGUUCGCCUCGACAACGGUGGCUGAGCGACCCUCGCACAGUGUCGCGCGGCGCGUCGUCGCCCCGGACCCGGAAGAACCCAACCCUAUCUCGCAACGCGACCCCAGGUCAGGCGAGACUACCCGCUGAGUUUAA
rnacentral:rRNA from 1 species